rnacentral:lncRNA from 1 species
AGCUACCCUUUCAUCCUCUGCAACCCUCUAUCCACUCAAAGCCCAUAUGGGAUACGAAAAGGAACAUCAGCCACCCUAUAUGAGCUCACAUCAGCCACCCUAUAUCUGUAGACUACUCGAGUAUGAGCCAACAACACCACUUCUUGUAUUUCAGCCAUCAAGUCUCUCUUCUUCCCUCACUAACACAUGCCGAAGAAGCUGAGAAAGGGAGAGAG